AGUUUGAGUAUGGAUAAUUGAAGUGGGGCAUGAGUGGGAUGGUACAGAGUACAGACAGAGACAGAGCACUCAUUGUCAUAAUAAUAGUAGCGAUCCAACAGUGAAUAAUGAUCUUUCUUCGCCAUUCUCGGAUGUACAAAGCUUCACACUGACUCACUUUAUCUGGUUCGCAAAGGUUGGGGCUGCUUAUCUUAAAUUGCAGGGACAUGUGGGUUUGCUGUGGAAAUUGGUUGUGCAUUUUCAGCCCAUAGCAAGUUUAGUGGCCUGGGCAGUAAAUAAGCAAACACAAAAUUUGUACACACAUUUCCCCCUCAAUAUCCAAUUAAUUUUUUUAUAAAGAUUGUUAAUUAUUUUCAUUUC